CGCGUAGGCGGCAAGGCAAGUCAGAUGUGAAAUCCCCGGGCUCAACCUGGGAAUUGCAUCUGAAACUGCAGUGCUUGAGUCCUGGAAGGGAUAGUGGAAUUCCCAGUGUAGCGGUGAAAUGCGUAGAUAUUGGGAGGAACACCUGCGGCGAAGGCGGCUAUCUGGACAGUGACUGACGCUGAUGCGCGAAAGCCAGGGGAGCGAACGG
rnacentral:rRNA from 1 species